rnacentral:tRNA from 1 species
GCCUGGGUGGCUCAGUUGGUUGAGCGUCCGACUUCGGCUCAGGUCAUGAUCUCGUGGUUCGUGAGUUCAAGCCCCACGUCGGGCU